rnacentral:rRNA from 1 species
UGAGGAAUAUUGGUCAAUGGACGGAAGUCUGAACCAGCCAAGUCGCGUGAAGGAAGACGGUUCUAUGGAUUGUAAACUUCUUUUGCCUGAGGGUAAAACGCGGUACGUGUACCGCCUUGUAAGUAUCAGGUGAAUAAGCAUCGGCUAACUCCGUGCCAGCAGCCGCGGUAAUACGGAGGAUGCGAGCGUUAUCCGGAUUUAUUGGGUUUAAAGGGUGCGUAGGCGGAUGGGUAAGUCAGCGGUGAAAUGUCCCGGCUCAACCGGGGAACUGCCAUUGAUACUGCCUGUCUUGAAUGCGGAUGCCGUGGGAGGAAUGUGUAGUGUAGCGGUGAAAUGCAUAGAUAUUACACAGAACACCGAUUGCGAAGGCAUCUCACGAAUCCGUUAUUGACGCUGAGGCACGAAAGCGUGGGGAUCAAACAGGAUUAGAUACCCUGGUAGU